UACGAAGGGAGCUAGCGUUGUUCGGAAUCACUGGGCGUAAAGCGCACGUAGGCGGAUUUGCCAGUCAGGGGUGAAAUCCCGGGGCUCAACCUCGGAACUGCCUUUGAUACAGCAAGUCUUGAGUUCGAGAGAGGCGGGUGAAAUUCCUAGUGUAGAGGUGAAAUUCGUAGAUAUUAGGAAGAACACCGGUGGCGAAGGCGGCCCACUGGCUCGACACUGACGCUGAGGUGCGAAAGCCAGGGGAGCGAACGGG
rnacentral:rRNA from 1 species